CACGUAGGAGGCGAGCGUUGUCCGGAAUCAUUGGGCGUAAAGAGCGCGCAGGCGGCUUGGCAAGUCGGGUGUGAAAUCCCGGGGCUCAACCCCGUGACUGCAUUCGAUACUGUCAGGCUAGAGGUAGGUAGGGGAGAUCGGAAUUCCUGGUGUAGCGGUGAAAUGCGCAGAUAUCAGGAGGAACACCAGUGGCGAAGGCGACUCUCUGGUCUGUAACUGACGCUGAGGCGCGAAAGCGUGGGGAGCAAACAGG
rnacentral:rRNA from 1 species